rnacentral:rRNA from 1 species
UACGUAGGUGGCAAGCGUUGUCCGGAAUUAUUGGGCGUAAAGCGCGCGCAGGCGGUCCUUUAAGUCUGAUGUGAAAGCCCACGGCUCAACCGUGGAGGGUCAUUGGAAACUGGGGGACUUGAGUGCAGGAGAGAAGAGUGGAAUUCCGGGUGUAGCGGUGGAAUGCGUAGAGAUCCGGAGGAAGACCGGUGGCGAAGGCGGUCUGCGUGGGCAGUUUCGUGACACUGAUGCGCGACAGCGUGGGGAGCAAACAGG